rnacentral:rRNA from 1 species
UACGUAGGGGGCAAGCGUUGUCCGGAUUUACUGGGCGUAAAGGGCGCGUAGGCGGCCCUUCAAGUCAGGCGUGAAAGCCCCGGGCUCAACCUGGGAGGUGCGCUUGGGACUGGAGGGCUGGAGUUCGGGAGAGGAGCGUGGAAUUCCCAGUGUAGAGGUGAAAUUCGUAGAUAUUGGGAAGAACACCGGUGGCGAAGGCGGCGCUCUGGACCGAGACUGACGCUGAGGCGCGAAAGCGUGGGGAGCAAACAGGGAUUAAGAAACCCUGAGU